AGUGAACGCUGGCGGCAGGCCUAACACAUGCAAGUCGAACGGCAGCACAGUAAGAGCUUGCUCUUAUGGGUGGCGAGUGGCGGACGGGUGAGGAAUACAUCGGAAUCUACUCUUUCGUGGGGGAUAACGUAGGGAAACUUACGCUAAUACCGCAUACGACCUACGGGUGAAAGCGGAGGACCUCUGGGAUUCGCGCGAUUGAAUGAGCCGAUGUCGGAUUAGCUAGUUGGCGGGGUAAAGGCCCACCAAGGGGACGAUCCGUAGCUGGUCUGAGAGGAUGAUCAGCCACACUGGAACUGAGACACGGUCCAGACUCCUACGGGAGGCAGCAGUGGGGAAUAUUGGACAAUGGGCGCAAGCCUGAUCCAGCCAUGCCGCGUGGGUGAAGAAGGCCUUCGGGUUGUAAAGCCCUUUUGUUGGGAAAGAAAAGCUGUCGGUUAAUACCCGAUUGUUCUGACGGUACCCAAAGAAUAAGCACCGGCUAACUUCGUGCCAGCCGCCGCAGUAA
rnacentral:rRNA from 1 species